CGAGUGGACACGCCGGAGGUGAUACCCGCGGAAAAGGUGCGCUUUGAAGGUACAAAUAAAUCUCUCUCGGAUGAUGAUCAAGCACCUUGUCAAGAACCGAACACGCAAACUGAAGCUUCCGCAUGAAUAUAAUUUUGUCUAAACUUUAAACAUGUCAUAAAUACUUUUGGUUGAUGGUGUUUUGAAUCCUUUAGCUAGUUGUUAGCUGAUUAGUAGGGAUGGCUCUUAAAUGAAUUUUGUACCAUCUUAAACAUGUUUGGGAAAUUACACUAGUAUGUAUGUUUUAAAACAGUAAAUCCUUUUGUAAA